AUCUGCCCCUUGGUCACACAGCUGAGUCUCAGAGCUGCCCCAAACAAGGCACAGGUAGCCAGCUGCUACCUGAGGAAAAGUGGCUGCAAAUGCCUGAGGUACCCAGCCUUUCCUCGUGUCUUUAUGGAAGCAUCCUGCCUCAGUAAAUUGGAUUUCACACAUAGCAAAGCUGCUACCUGAGGAAAAGUGGCUGCAAAUGCCUGAGGUGCCCUUAUGGAAGCAUCAUGCCUCAGUAAAUUGGAUUUCACACACAGCAAAGGGAUCCAGUGGUUCUGCCUGAGAAACACCAGCUUCUCCUCAGCCUCCUGCUUUGAUAUGGGUGAAGAUGUGUCCUCCACUGCUGUGCCAACCCAUGGAUCCCAGUUCCAUGGGGAUAAUGAGGGGGCUGAGGAGUGUUUCCAUCUCUCUGAAAUGGGGAAACAAAGCAGCUCAGCUUAUGGAACCUGAACAGAUGAACCUGCAGCCUGAUGUUUUCUGCAUUCUGGUGCUUGGGAAAAGAAAGAGGAGAGGUACAAGCAGGCCGCAGCAGAACCCCAGGAAACCCUUGCUCAGAGGCAGUGCCCAGUUACCUGUGCAUUCUGCACGCUGUCUUCACUCUGUGAGUCCAGCACUGAGGCAG